rnacentral:rRNA from 1 species
CACACGACUCUCGGCAACGGAUAUUUCGGCUCUCGCAUUGAUGAAAAACGGAACAAAAUGGGAUACCUGGGGUGAAUUGCAAAAUCCCGCGAACCAUCGAGUUUUUGAACGCAAGUUGCGCCCGAGGCCUUCUGGCUGAAGGCACGCCUGGCUGGGCGUCACGC